rnacentral:rRNA from 1 species
AUUGAACGCUGGCGGAAUGCUUUACACAUGCAAGUCGAACGGCAGCACGGGUGCUUGCACCUGGUGGCGAGUGGCGAACGGGUGAGUAACAUAUCGGAACGUAUCCAAUAAUGGGGGAUAAAUAAUCGAAAGGUUGGCUAUUACCGCAUACGCCCUACGGGGGAAAGCUAGGGACCUUCGGACCUGCCGUUAAUGGAGCGGCCGAUAUCUGAUUAGCUCGUUGGUGGGGUAAUGGCCUACCAAGGAGAGGAUCAGUAGCUGGUCUGAGAGGACGACCAGCCACACUGGAACUGAGACACGGUCCAGACUCCUAAGGGAGGCAGCAGUGGGGAAUUUUGGACAAUGGGCGCAAGCCUGAUCCAGCCAUUCCGCGUGAGUGAAGAAGGCUUUCGGGUUGUAAAGCUCUUUCGCAAGGGAAGAAAACUUAUCCUCUAACAUAGGAUGAGGUUGACGGUACCUUGAUAAGAAGCACCGGCUAACUACGUGCCAGCCGCCGCCGUAAAAC